GACGGAGGGUGCAAGCGUUGUUCGGAAUAACUGGUCGUAACGGGCGCGUAGGCGGUGACUUCAUUGAGGCGUUAAAGACCUGGUCUCUACCUGGGGGUUGCGUUUGAUACUGAGUGAAUGGAGUACGGGAGAGGAAAGCGGAAUUCCUAGUGUAGAGGUAAAAUUCGUAGAUAUUAGGAGGAACACCGGAGGCGAAGGCGGCUUUCUCGACCGAUACUGGCGCUGAGGCGCGAAAGCGUGGGGAGCAAAUAGG
rnacentral:rRNA from 1 species